AGUGAACGCUGGCGGUAGGCCUAACACAUGCAAGUCGAACGGCAGCACAGUAAGAGCUUGCUCUUACGGGUGGCGAGUGGCGGACGGGUGAGGAAUACAUCGGAAUCUACUUUUUCGUGGGGGAUAACGUAGGGAAACUUACGCUAAUACCGCAUACGACCUACGGGUGAAAGCAGGGGAUCUUCGGACCUUGCGCGAUUGAAUGAGCCGAUGUCGGAUUAGCUAGUUGGCGGGGUAAAGGCCCACCAAGGCGACGAUCCGUAGCUGGUCUGAGAGGAUGAUCAGCCACAUUGGAAGUGGGACACGGUCCAGACUCCUACGGGAGGCAGCAGUGGGGAACAUGGGACAACGGGCGCAAGCCUGGUCCAGCGAUACCGCGUGGGUGAAGAAGGCCUUCGGGUUGUAAAGCCCUUUUGUUGGGAAAGAAAAGCAGCAGGUUAAUACCCCGCUGUUCUGACGGUACCCAAAGAAUAAGCACCGGCUAACUUCGUG
rnacentral:rRNA from 1 species